AGUCACUGACAUUAGAUACCCGGGUAGUCCAGGGUGUAAACGCUGCAGACUUGGUGUUGGAAGUCCUUUGGGGGCAUUCAGUGCCGGAGAGAAGUUGUUAAGUCUGCUACUUGGGGAGUACGUCCGCAAGGAUGAAACUUAAAGGAAUUGGCGGGGGAGCACCGCAACGGGAGGAGCGUGCGGUUUAAUUGGAUUCAACACCGUAAACUCACCAGGGAAGACUGUUACAUGAAGGCCGAGAUGAAGACUCUGCUAGAUUUUCAG
rnacentral:rRNA from 1 species